UAGUCAUAUGCUUGUCUCAGAGAUUAAGCCAUGCAUGUCUCAGUGUAAACUUUUAAACAGUGAAACUGCGAAUGGCUCAUUAUAACAGUUAUAGUUUAUUUGAUGGUCAUUGCUACAUGGAUAACCGUGGGAAUUCCAGGGCUAAUACAUGCGUAAAGACCCGCAAGGGUUGUGUUUAUUAGAUUAAAAACCACACCGUGGCAACACGGGCACGUUGGAAUGAUAAUAACCGAUCGAAUCGCAUGCCUUACGGCGGCGAUAAAUCAUUCAAGUUU
rnacentral:rRNA from 1 species